rnacentral:rRNA from 1 species
UAAGGAAUAUUGGUCGAUGGGCGCAAGCCUGAACCAGCCAUGCCGCGUGCAGGAAGACGGCCCUAUGGGUUAUAAACUGCUUUUGUCAGGGAAUAAACCCCCGCUCGUGAGCGGGGCUGAAGGUACCUGAAGAAUAAGCAUCGGCUAACUCCGUGCCAGCAGCCGCGGUAAUACGGAGGAUGCAAGCGUUAUCCGGAUUCAUUGGGUUUAAAGGGUGCGCAGGCGGAUUGGUAAGUCAGGGGUGAAAUCCCACAGCUCAACUGUGGAACUGCCUUUGAUACUGUCAGUCUAGAGUAUAGUUGAAGUGGGCGGAAUGUGUCAUGUAGCGGUGAAAUGCUUAGAUAUGACACAGAACACCGAUCGCGAAGGCAGCUCGCUAAGCUAUAACUGACGCUCAUGCACGAAAGCGUGGGGAUC